rnacentral:ncRNA from 1 species
GCCCUAUUGUUAGUUUUAAUUAAACCUAUACAUGCAAGUUUCCGCUACCCAGUGAGAAUGCCCUUAAAACUUAAGUAAAGGAGCCGGUAUCAGGCACACUAAUGUAGCCUACAACACCUUGCUAAACCACACCCCCACGGGAUACAGCAGUAACUAAUAUUAAGCUAUAAACGAAAGUUUGACUAAGUUAUAAUUAUAGGGUUGGUUAAUUUCGUGCCAGCCACCGCGGUCAUACGAUUGACCCGAACUAACAAAACCCGGCGUAAAGAGUGUUAAAAAAUAAAGUUAAUAAUUAGCUAAACUGUAAUACGCUCUUGCUAAUAUAAAAAUAAGCAAUAUAAAUGACUUUAAUUUUGCUGAUACACGAUAGCUAAGAUACAAACUGGGAUUAGAUACCCCACUAUGCUUAGCCAUAAACUUAGGUAAUUUAAUAACAAAAUUACUCGCCAGAGAACUACUAGCAACUGCUUAAAACUCAAAGGACUUGGCGGUGCCCUAAACCCACCUAGAGGAGCCUGUUCUAUAAUCGAUACACCCCGUUAAACCCAACCCUAUCUUGCCAAUACAGCCUAUAUACCGCCAUCGUCAGCCCACCUUUAAAAAGCCCAAUAGUAAGCAAAAUUAUUAUUCAUAAAAACGUUAGGUCAAGGUGUAGCAUAUGAUAGGGAAAGAAAUGGGCUACAUUCUCUAUUAUAGAGAACAACGAAUCACAUUAUGAAAUUAAAGUGCUUGAAGGAGGAUUUAGUAGUAAAUUAAGAAUAGAGAGCUUAAUUGAAUUAGGCAAUAGGGCG